GACGAACGCUGGCGGCGUGCUUAACACAUGCAAGUCGAACGGAAAGGCCCUGCUUGCAGGGUACUCGAGUGGCGAACGGGUGAGUAACACGUGGGUGAUCUGCCCUGCACUUCGUGAUAAGCCUGGGAAACUGGGUCUAAUACCGGAUAGGAGCCAUUUUUAGUGUGAUGGUUGGAAAGUUUUUUCGGUGUAGGAUGAGCUCGCGGCCUAUCUGCUUGUUGGUGGGGUAAUGGCCUACCAAGGCGGCGGCGGGUAGCCGGCCUGAGGGGGUGGACGGCCACAUUGGGGCUGAGGUACGGGCCAGAAUCCUACGGGGGGCAGCAGUGGGGAAUAUUGCACAAUGGGCGCGAGCCUGAUGCAGCGACGCCGCGGGGGGGAAGACGGGCUUCGGGUUGGAAACCCCUUUCGCUAGGGACGAAGCUUUUUGUGACGGUACCUAGAUAAGAAGCACCGGCUAACUACGUG
rnacentral:rRNA from 1 species